GAUGAACGCUGGCGGCGUGCUUAAUACAUGCAAGUCGAGCGAACAGACGAGGAGCUUGCUGCUCUGACGUUAGCGGCGGACGGGUGAGUAACAUGUGGAUACCCUACUUAUAAGACUGGGAUAACUUCGGGAAACCGGAGCUAAUACGGGAUAAUAUACUGCACCGUAUGGUUCAAUAGUGAAAGACGGCUUUUCUGUCACUUAUAGAUGGUUCCCGGCUGUAUUAGCUAGUUGGUACGGUAAAGGCUUACCAAGGCGACGAUGCGUAGCCGACCGGAGAGAGGGGUCGGCCACACUGGAACUGAGACACGGACCAGACUCCUACGAGAGGGAGCAGUAGCGAAUCUUCCGCAGUGGGCGGGAGCCUGACAGAGCGGCGCGAAGUCAGAGAUGAAAGUGUUCGGAUCGUGAAGCUCUGUUAUUAGGGAAAAACAGAUGUGUAAGUAGCUGUACACGUCUUGACGGUACCUGAUCAGGAAGCAACGGCUAACUACGUG
rnacentral:rRNA from 1 species